rnacentral:rRNA from 1 species
AGUGAACGCUGGCGGUAGGCCUAACACAUGCGAGUCGAACGGCAGCACAGUAAGAGCUCGCUCUUACGGGUGGCGAGUGGCGGACGGGUGAGGAAUACAUCGGAAUCUACUUUUUCGUGGGGGAUAACGUAGGGAAACUUACGCUAAUACCGCAUACGACCUACGGGUGAAAGCAGGGGAUCUUCGGACCUUGCGCGAUUGAUUGAGCCGAUGUCGGAUUAGCUAGUUGGCGGGGUAAAGGCCCACCAAGGCGACGAUCCGUAGCUGGUCUGAGAGGAUGAUCAGCCACACUGGAACUGAGACACGGUCCAGACUCCUACGGGAGGCAGCAGUGGGGAAUAUUGGACAAUGGGCGCAAGCCUGAUCCAGCCAUACCGCGUGGGUGAAGAAGGCCUUCGGGUUGUAAAGCCCUUUUGUUGGGAAAGAAAAGCAGCAGGUUAAUACCCCGCUGUUCUGACGGUACCCAAAGAAUAAGCACCGGCUAACUUCGUG